rnacentral:rRNA from 1 species
UACGUAGGGUGCGAGCGUUAAUCGGAAUUACUGGGCGUAAAGCGCACGUAGGCGGACUCUUAAGUCGGUGGUGAAAUCCUGGAGCUCAACUCCAGAACUGCCUUCGAUACUGGGAGUCUCGAGUCCGGGAGAGGUGAGUGGAACUGCGAGUGUAGAGGUGAAAUUCGUAGAUAUUCGCAAGAACACCAGUGGCGAAGGCGGCUCACUGGCCCGGUACUGACACUGAGGCGCGAAAGCGUGGGGAGCGAACAGG